CAAAUUUUCUCUGUCAUUUCAGAAGCUAUCAUAUUCACUCAAUGCUUUUUAUUUUCGAAAGCACACUCUGCAGGUAUUAUUAUCAUAUGCAUUUUUCUAAGAAUCAACAAUUUUGUCGUUGAUUUAUUGAAGAACUCAGGAGCAACUUGAUAAAUUAAAUCUACAAACAUUAGCAUUUCGGGAUGGUCUCUCAUCGACUCCAAAAUAUAAUACUAGGACCAAAGGGCCCAAUGGGACGAUUUGUGAGAACACAGGUCAAAAGGCUAGUCAACUAAAUUCAUUCAUCAAAGAGAUUAUCCUUCACAAAUACGAGGACCUAUUAUAGUCCGAAGUUUUGGCAAAAGUUUAAAAGAAUUUGGGUUCUGAACCAAAGUGAGCUGACAAGUGAUCAAAAUUCUAAAUAUUUGUUUUAGGAGUUGACCCCGAAGACCAACUAGGAACUUAAUAGGACAGUUUUAUUUACAAAAACUAUUGAACGAAAUUGUUUCGAUGCAUAAAUUGGGUUCGAGAAGCAAAAAUUGCAAAUACCUACCGUCUUUUGUGCUUGGUGCUGAGGGUGAUGUAAAAGAGAAACCAUUUGACAUCGAUUGGGAACUAGUUUGUGAGAGCGACUGUUGUGAAUGUUGCUGCUGCUGCUGGUGCGUUGAUGGUAGCAGAUUUUGCUGCUGUGGCUGCGGCGAAUGCUGCGAUAAAUUCUGCGGGGAGUGAUUGAAUGUGUUGUGUGAAGUUGGCGGGAUUGUGAAUGCCGUAUUAAUAGGUGUUGGAAUGACAUUUGAACCGAAAUUACUAUGUGCACAUCGUUAUGCUGUUGCUGUAGGUUUGGUAUGCUAUGCAGACCACCCAUGCUCAUAAAGUUUCCUAACGCCCCCAAUGGAUGAUUCGCACCAAACUGACCAUGAUGAUGACUAGACACAAAGUAAAAGACUUGAUGUAUUAUGAAUCAUUUUUUUAAUACAACAACUAGAUAACUAUACGUACCUCAUUGGAAUUUCUGAAUUGUGUUGUUCGGGACUCCUGCCUCCACCACCAAGUCCUACAUAGUCCAUGGCCAUUCCAUUGACCAUUGAGGAGUUUAAUCGGCUGGUGUUUUCGUCAUCCAUUGAUUCACAGUCUCUCAUGUCGUCCUCUGAGUGUUCGUCGUUGGACUGCAAUGGGAUAAGGAAAGAAGAGAAAAAUAUUAAAACACAUGCGGAAUCUAUGUUGAAUGAUUGCUUCGAUUUAUUGGUACAUUUAUUGGAACAAGCUGGUCUAUAAUUUCGAUUGCAUUUGGAGCAACAACAUCGUCGGCGUCCGAUCACGCAGUUUAAUUCUUUCGUACAACAUGAAAACGCGUGCUGCGACUCAAUCGAAUGUCAUUUGUUUACAAUUCAGAUUGGUAACGCCUUGGCUGCCUUUGCGAAAAAAGGAAAUAUGGUUUAGUAUUAGCAAGUAGCGUAUUUUUAUGUCCCGGUGAUGCACUUUAAUCAAAGAAAUGUAACGUGACAAAGGAACGAAUGAAUACAUCAAGAAUAAAACAAAAACAAAAAAAUUACAGCAAUUCGACACAGAACAUGAUAUUGAAUGUUAUAUAAAAAAAAAAAACUUUUAUUUCUUCUUGCUUGAUUAAUUUAUCGUUUACAAGGCAAACUCAAGGUUCAAUAUCAGUUCAUGCAAUUGGGUUCGUUCACAAAUGAAGUUUAUUAGAAAUUUUAGUUU